UACGUAGCUCCCGAGCGUUGUCCGGAUUUAUUGGGCGUAAAGCGAGCGCAGGUGGUUUAUUAAGUCUGGUGUAAAAGGCAGUGGCUCAACCAUUGUAUGCAUUGGAAACUGGUAGACUUGAGUGCAGGAGAGGAGAGUGGAAUUCCAUGUGUAGCGGUGAAAUGCGUAGAUAUAUGGAGGAACACCGGUGGCGAAAGCGGCUCUCUGGCCUGUAACUGACACUGAGGCUCGAAAGCGUGGGGAGCAAACAGG
rnacentral:rRNA from 1 species